AGCAGCCGCGGUAAUUCCAGCUCCAAUAGCGUAUAUUAAAGUUGUUGCAGUUAAAAAGUUCGUAGUUGAAUUUCGGGAUUAGUAGUCUGGUCGUGCCACUGGUAUGUACUGGUCUUACUGAUUUCUCCUUCUUGAAGAACCGUAAUGUCAUUAAUUUGUUGUUGCGGGGAAUCUGGACUGUUACUUUGAAAAAUUAGAGUGUUUAAAGCAGGCUAACGCUUGAAUACAUUAGCAUGGAAUAAUGAAAUAGGACGUUCGAUCCUAUUUUGUUGGUUUCUAGGAUUGACGUAAUGAUUAAUAGGGAUAGUUGGGGGCAUUAGUAUUCAAUCGUCAGAGGUGAAAUUCUUGGAUUUAUUGAAGACUAACUACUGCGAAAGCAUUUGCCGAGGAUGUUUUCAUUAAUCAAGAACGAAAGUUAGGGGAUCGAAGACGAUCAGAUACCGUCGUAGUCUUAACCAUAAACUAUGCCGACUAGGGAUCGGAUGAUGUUAAUUUUAUAAUGACUCAUUCGGCGCCUUAA
rnacentral:rRNA from 1 species